rnacentral:misc_RNA from 1 species
GGGUUCAGUUAGCAGUACUGCACAGAAUGACGUUAUGCCAUUCUGUGAUUUUAUGGUUUUUAGCGAUUCUGAUAUUAUGAUGAUAUUUGGCCUUGUGCCUAAUGUUAUUACAGCUUAUCAGCUGUUCUGUUGUACACCGGGAGACACUAUGUGACAGAUGGUGUGACGGCCCGAGGUAUUUGGUAUCCAAUGCCAGUUUACCCGUUUAUCUAGUCCAGUCUUCUAGUAUAGGUUACUUGGGCAACAAA